rnacentral:rRNA from 1 species
UACGUAGGGUGCAAGCGUUAAUCGGAAUUACUGGGCGUAAAGCGUGCGCAGGCGGUUUUGUAAGUUUGUCGUGAAAUCUCCGGGCUCAACCCGGAAAUGGCAUUGGAAACUGCAUGGCUAGAGGGUUGGAGGGGGGACUGGAAUACUUGGUGUAGCAGUGAAAUGCGUAGAUAUCAAGUGGAACACCAGUGGCGAAGGCGAGUCCCCUGGACAACACCUGACACUGAGGCAACGAAAAGCUAGGGGGAGCAAAACAGG